UACGUAGGCAGCAAGCGUUUGUUCGGAGUUACUGGGCGUAAAGGGUGCGUAGGCGGCUCUAUAAGUAUGGUGUGAAAUCUCCCGGCUUAACUGGGAGAGUGCGCUAUAGACUGUGGGGCUAGAGGGUGGGAGAGGAAAGUGGAAUUCCUGGUGUAGCGGUGAAAUGCGUAGAUAUCAGGAGGAACACCGGUGGUGUAAACGGCUUUCUGGACCACUUCUGACGCUGAGGCACGAAAGCGUGGGUAGCAAACAGG
rnacentral:rRNA from 1 species